AAAACCGCAAGGUGAAGUAUAUGGGCUGACGCCUGCCCGGUGCUGGAAGGUUAAGGGGAGAGGUUAGCGCAAGCGAAGCUUUGAACUUAAGCCCCAGUAAACGGCGGCCGUAACUAUAACGGUCCUAAGGUAGCGAAAUUCCUUGUCGGGUAAGUUCCGACCCGCACGAAAGGCGUAAUGAUUUGGGCACUGUCUCAACGAUACACCCGGUGAAAUUGAAAUACCAGUGAAGAUGCUGGUUACCUGCGCCAGGACGGAAAGACCCCAUGGAGCUUUACUCCAGUUUGAUACUGGGAUUCGGCAUGGUAUGUACAGGAUAGGUGGGAGACUGAGAAGGUAUGACGUCAGUUGUACCGGAGUCGCUGUUGGGAUACCACCCUUACCAUGUUGGAUUUCUAACCUGUGGCCGUAAGCCGGUCAGGGGACAAUGUCAGGCGGGGAGUUUGACUGGGGCGGUCGCCUCCGAAAGGGUAUCGGAGGCGCUCAAAGGUUCCCUCAGAAUGGUUGGAAACCAUUCGAAGAGUGCAAAGGCAGAAGGGAGCUUGACUGUGACACCGACGGGUGGAGCAGGUACGAAAGUAGGACUUAGUGAUCCGGUGGUAUAAAGUGGGAUUGCCAUCGCUCAACGGAUAAAAGCUACCCUGGGGAUAACAGGCUUAUCACUCCCAAGAGUUCACAUCGACGGAGUGGUUUGGCACCUCGAUGUCGGCUCAUCGCAUCCUGGAGCUGUAGCAGGUUCCAAGGGUUGGGCUGUUCGCCCAUUAAAGCGGUACGCGAGCUGGGUUCAGAACGUCGUGAGACAGUUCGGUCCCUAUCCGGCGCAGGCGGAGGAAAUUUGAUAGGAGCUGUCCUUAGUACGAGAGGACCGGGAUGGACGGACCGCUGGUGUAUCUGUUGUACUGCCAAGUGCAUAGCAGAGUAGCCAAGUCUGGAAGGGAUAAACGCUGAAGGCAUCUAAGCGUGAAGCCCCCCUAAAGAUAAGAUUUCCCAUACCGAAAGGUAGUAAGACCCCUUGAAGACGACGAGGUAGAUAGGGCAGAGGUGGAAGUACGGUAACGUAUGGAGCUGACUGUUACUAAUCGGUCGAGGCUUUAACCAAA
rnacentral:rRNA from 1 species